rnacentral:sRNA from 1 species
AGUAGAUUGGGAAACUCGUCAAUUUUACAACGAACUACCGAGACAAGCUUUGCUGCCCAAUGGCGGGCCUCAACCGGAUUUUAUCCGGUUCAUUCCACGUUCACGAGGAGCGACAAGGGGAUUACAAAGGACAGCGGCACUCAAAUCCUGUCAUAUCGGAGUUUCAUCGCAUCCUUCAGUGUGGCA